AGAGUUCUUCUCCAUGCUUACAAGGAAGGUUUUGAAGAGGGAGCAGUUGUGGGUGCACCUCAACUUACGGAUGUAUCAUUGUUUAUUUCAAGGCAGGGGAAUGACAAGGGUGGACUUCAAAUGCCUCAAUCUGCUGUCAGAUCAUAUUUCAAAGAGCAAUCUUCUGCUAAGUGGGAACUCCACAUACCAGAAGAUGUUGCAAAGGAAGUUCACCGGUGGCCGAUCGGCUUUAUGACAUCUGGAUUUGUUCGAGGGUGCAAGAAGCCAGCAGCAGAGGCUUAUGCGAGGCAGUCUUACUUGCUCAUCUUAGAGAGGAGCAGUGGAAGAACAUGUCCACAAAGCGGAGGAAGGAGAUCUAUGUUCUGGUUAGGAAUCUAAGAUCCUCAUCGUAUAGACUUGCUCUUGCCACCAUUGUCCUGGAACGACAUGAAGAUGUAGAAUUUAUGUGAGCUGCCGGCAUCUCAAUUAGGGCUGGGCAACCGGGCCGGAUUUUUUUCCGGCCCGGUCCGGAACCCGGAUAACCGGGUUCCGGUUACGGGCACCGGCCCGGAAAACACCUGGGCUGGUACCCGGUUUCUAAAACCCGGGUGUACCCGGUCCGGGUACCGGAUUUAAAACCUGGUACCCGGGUGUUAAAUCCAGUACCCGGGUUUUUUUAAAACCCAAACCCAGUGCCAAAACGACGCCGUUUUGGCACUGGGUUAUAUACCCCAACAGGCUGCAACAUCCCGAUUCGCCCCCCCAAUCUCUCUCUCUCUCUCUCUCUCUCUCUCUCUCUCUCUCUCUCUCUCUCUCUCUCUCUCUCUCUCUCUCUCUCUCUCUCUCUCUCUCAACGAAUUUUCCCGAAACCCUAGCCUCAUCCAGUCGUCGCCGUCAUCCACUCAUCGCCGUCAUCCCGUCGUCGCCGUCAUCCCGUCGUCGAGCCGAGCGGUUUGGUAUAACUUUACAACUCACCGAGGAAGAGAAACGUAAUUCUCGAGCGGAGAGGGAUUGACCUCUGAAGAUGUAUCUUCUAGAUUUGUGUAGUAUUGCAUGUUGUAAGGAAGUAAUUGGCGGAUCAUAUGUAACUUCAAAAUGGAGUUACUCAGUUGGAUUAACAUUUUGCUAGAUCGGUAAAAGAUUGGGAGAUGGAAGAACCAUAGCCUUUGAGGACCAUAUCUCAGAUAUUUGAAGACCUGGUUCUGCAUAUUGAUAGAACCAUAGCCUUUGAGGCUUCACUGGAUUGACUUUUUUGGUGUAUGAAUUUAAUUGAGCAAGGUUGUAGUUGUAUUUGUUAAGUGGGCAGUGAGUGCUGGUGUUACUUCCUAACUGGGCAGUGAGUGCAUUUUGAAUUUGGGAAGCAUUGAAGUGAAUUUUCUGGCGUUACUUCCUAACUGGGCAGUAGCGUUUCUUUUUUGGUUUUUUGGUGUAUGAAUUUUCUGCAUGACAACCUUGAAUUUGGGAAGCAUUGAAGUGAAUUUUGAAGGAA